rnacentral:rRNA from 1 species
UUCGCAAUGCCCGAAAGGGUGACAAUGCGACGCCGCGCGAGCGAUGAAGGCCUUCGGGUUGUAAAGCUCUGUCGAGCUCGGAUGAAAGGCAGAAGGGUGAAUAGCCUUUCUGAUUGACGGUACGAGCGAAGGAAGCCACAGCUAACUCUGUGCCAGCAGCCGCGGUAAUACAGAGGUGGCAAGCGUUGUUCGGAUUCACUGGGUGUAAAGGUCAUGUAGGCGUCUCGUUAAGUCGAGUGUGAAAUCCUAUGGCUCAACCAUAGAACUGCGCUUGAUACUGGCGGGAUUGAGUACGGGAGAGGUAAGCGGAAUUCCCGGUGUAAGGGUGAAAUCUGUAGAUAUCUGGAAGAACACCAUUAGCGAAGGCGGCUUACUGGUCCGAUACUGACGCUGAAAUGAGAAAGCUAGGGGAGCAAACAGGAUUAGAUACCCUGGUAGUCCUAGCUGUAAACGAUGGGCACUAAGUAGAGGGGUUUU